AGCGAACGCUGGCGGCAGGCUUAACACAUGCAAGUCGAACGGGCGUAGCAAUACGUCAGUGGCAGACGGGUGAGUAACGCGUGGGAACGUACCUUUUGGUUCGGAACAACACAGGGAAACUUGUGCUAAUACCGGAUAAGCCCUUACGGGGAAAGAUUUAUCGCCGAAAGAUCGGCCCGCGUCUGAUUAGCUAGUUGGUGGGGUAACGGCCUACCAAGGCGACGAUCCGUAGCUGAUCUUAGAGGAUGAUCAGCCACACUGGGACUGAGACACGGCCCAGACUCCUACGGGAGGCAGCAGUGGGGAAUCUUGGACAAUGGGCGCAAGCCUGAUCCAGCCAUGCCGCGUGAGUGAAGAAGGUCUUCGGAUUGUAAAGCUCUUUUGCCAGGGACGAUAAUGACGGUACCUGGAGAAUAAGCCCCGGCAAACUUCGUGCCAGCAGCCGCGGUAAGGCACGACUGU
rnacentral:rRNA from 1 species